rnacentral:rRNA from 1 species
AUAUCAAUAAGCGGAGGAAAAGAAACCAACAGGGAUUACCUCAGUAACGGCGAGUGAAGCGGUAAUAGCUCAAAUUUGAAAUCUGGUCUUUACGGGCCCGAGUUGUAAUUUGUAGAGGAUGUUUCGGGCAAGGCUUUGGCUUAAGUUUCUUGGAACAGAACGUCAUAGAGGGUGAGAAUCCCGUCUAGAGUCGUCGGCCGCGUCCAUGUGAAACUCCUUCGACGAGUCGAGUUGUUUGGGAAUGCAGCUCUAAAUGGGUGGUAAAUUUCAUCUAAAGCUAAAUAUUGGCCAGAGACCGAUAGCGCACAAGUACCGUGAGGGAAAGAUGAAAAGCACUUUGGAAAGAGAGUGAAACAGUAC